GAGGCUGGUUCUUGCCCUCAAGGGCACUAUUGUCCCAGGGGUUCUGCUUCACCCCAACCUUGUCCUCUGGGCACCUUCAGCCAGAGACUCAAGCUAAGCUCAGAGGCUGACUGCUCUCCUUGCCCCCCUGGACAUUACUGCAAUGCCACAGGCCUCACAACCCCAUCUGGUCCAUGCAGCGAAGGUUUCUUCUGCCUGGGCGGAGCGAUCAUCCCCAACAGCUCCCUCAGGGACCAGAGGGGCGGCCCCUGCCCCACAGGACAUUUCUGCCCCAGGGCCAGUGUGGCCCCUCAGGUCUGCUUGGCUGGAUCCUACAAUCCUCUCCCAGCCCAGAGCAACUGUAAACUAUGUCCCCAGGGGUAAGAGCAUUGAUGUGACAGUUACUGUACCCUACCAUCCCCAGUUGCUAUCUUUCUCCAGACAGCAACGUGUCUCCUGGCUCCUAAUCUCCCUGCCUAUUUACCUUCUCACUCCUGCUGUCCCAGGCUCCAGAUGACAGAAGUAGUUUCCCCCCCAAGGUUUUCUGUUUGCUUAUUUGCACGAAGAAAGAAUAGAAUAUAGGCUACCUCAGAAAUAUUGCAGGUUCAAGUCCAGAUCACCAAAAUAAAACAAAUAUAGCAAUAAAGUGAGUCA
rnacentral:lncRNA from 1 species